CCUACGGGAGGCUGCAGUGGGGAAUAUUGGACAAUGGGCGAAAGCCUGAUCCAGCCAUGCCGCGUGUGUGAAGAAGGCCUUCGGGUUGUAAAGCACUUUCAGUGGGGAAGAAAGCCUUGGGGCUAAUACCCUCGAGGAAGGACAUCACCCACAGAAGAAGCACCGGCUAACUCCGUGCCAGCAGCCGCGGUAAUACGGAGGGUGCGAGCGUUAAUCGGAAUUACUGGGCGUAAAGCGCGCGUAGGCGGUCUGAUAAGCCGGUUGUGAAAGCCCCGGGCUCAACCUGGGAACGGCAUCCGGAACUGUCAGGCUAGAGUGCAGGAGAGGAAGGUAGAAUUCCCGGUGUAGCGGUGAAAUGCGUAGCGUUCGGGAGGAAUACCAGUGGCGAAGGCGGACUUCUGGACUGACACUGACGCUGAGGUGCGAAAGCGUGGGUAGCAAACAGGAUUAGAUACCCUUGUAGUC
rnacentral:rRNA from 1 species